AUACGGAGGGGGUUAGCGUUGUUCGGAAUUACUGGGCGUAAAGCGUACGUAGGCGGAUCGGAAAGUAAGGGGUGAAAUCCCAGGGCUCAACCCUGGAACUGCCUCUUAAACUCCCGGUCUUGAGUUCGAGAGAGGUGAGUGGAAUUCCUAGUGUAGAGGUGAAAUUCGUAGAUAUUAGGACGAACACCAGUGGCGAAGGCGGCUCACUGGCUCGAUACUGACGCUGAGGUACGAAAGUGUGGGGAGCAAACAGGAUUAGAAACCCCAGUAGUCC
rnacentral:rRNA from 1 species